CAUGGCUCUUGAAAAUAUGUAUCUUCCAGUCUGAUAAUUGACAAAUGGAUGGAAAAUAUAUUAAAAUAAAUUAAAGUCCACUAUAUAUGUAAACAAAGAAAGAAUUUGGGGUUUGGAGCCAUGAAAGCAGCUGAAGCAAGACAAAGAUAGUUAUUCAUGAGCUAUGAGGAUUCUAGAACACCUGUGCAGGAAAAGGUCCACCAAGACACACAGCCUGAAACUGGAACUCAGACCACUAAAGGGGCUGCUUUAUGCUGAACUGACACUCAGGCCUUUUCCUGACUUGAGCCUAAUGUUCUCUCCCCUGCACUGCACUGCAAGGAGGACAGAAAAACAAGCAGCUUUGUAAUUUCCAUGACCGUGGUGAAAACGUGGGGUGUGGUGACUUUCAAGUUUCCAGCACAAGGCUAUAUUUACUAGAAGCACGUUCCACAGGGGCUGAGUUUUCGUCUCUUUUAUUCACUGCUGAAUCGUCAGGAACUGAGCCUGGCAGAAGCAGACACUCUCUCAGCAUUCAACGAUUGAAAGAAUGAAAAAUAAAGGUGUGCAGACAUCGGUAAGAUAUUUGGUGAAUUUUGGUAAGUGAUAAUCCUGGAAACACUACAUAAUCAUGACAGAAAAUUCCUGGGUGUCCCCGUAGUCAAUCACCUAUUCCCACCUCCCACCCAUGGCAACUACUGAUCUGCUUUUUGUCACUGUAGUUUUUCCUUUUCUAGAAUUUCAUAUAAAUUGAACUAUACAGUGUUAAGCAUUUGUGUCCAGGCAUUAUUCAAUUAGCAUAAUACUUUUGAUGUUUAUUCAUGUUGCUACAUGCAUUAGUAGUCCAAUCUUUUUACUGCUGAGUGUAUUCCAUGCUAUAGAUGUACCAAAAUUUGUGUAUUCACCUGUUGAUGAACAAUAGAUUGGGGCUAUUAUGAAUAAAGUCAAUAUGAGCAUUUAACUGCAAGUCUUGAGUGUACACGUGUUUUCUUUUUUGUUGGGUAAAUACUUAGCACAUUACUCAUGGGGUCUUAUGGUUAGUAUACACUUAAGUUUAUAAGAACCCACUGAACUCUUUUCAAAAUGGCUGUAACAUUUUGUAUUUCUACUAGCCAAACUUGGUAUUUUCAGGCUUAAUUUUAUACUUUGUAGGGGAUGUGUAGCAGUAUCUUAUUGUAGUUUAAAUUUGCAUUUCCCUAAUGACUAAAGAUGUUGAACAUCUUUCCAUGUGUUAUUUGCUAUUUGUCUGUCUUUGAUGAAACGUCUAUUUCAAAUCUUUUGCCCGUUUUUCAUUGAGUUCACUGUCUUAUUAUGUUGUAUGAGUUCUUUAUAUAUUCUUAAAACAAAUUCCUUAAUCAAAUAUUUGACUUGCAAAUAUAUUCCCAACUCCUAUGGCUUGCCUUUUUGUUCUCUUAAGGAUAGCUUUUGAAGAGCAAAAGUUUUAAUUUUGUUGAAGUCCAACAUCCAAUUUUUUUAAUCGUUAGAGCUAUUCGUGUCCUAGUAAGUUUGACUAACUCAAGACCAUAAAGAUUUUUCUCCCAUGUGUUCUUAUUUAUAAGUUUUAUACUUUUAGCUCUUACAUUUAGGUCUAUUAUCCAUUUUACAUUAACCUUUUGAGUGAUGUGAGGUAAGAACUGAGGGUUUUUUUUUUAACGGCUAUGUAAUUUUUCUAGCAUCAUUUGUUGAAAUGACUGUCCUUUUCUCAUUGAAUUAAGUUGGUUCAUUUGUCAAAAACCAAAUGAUGACAUAUGCGUAGAUCUAUAUCUGUACUCUCUGUUCUAUUCCUUUGGUCUAUAUGUCUGUCUUUAUAUUGAUACCACACUAUCUUGAUUAUUUGUGGUUUUAUAUUAAGUCAUAAAAUCAGGUAGUAUAUUUCAACUUUGUUUUUCCAUUUCAAAUUAUUUUGACUAGUCUAGAUAAUUUUUAUUUCCAUGUAUAGUUCAUAAUCAGAUUGUCAACUUCUGCAAACAAAAAUCUUCCUGGGAUAUUUUCAUGGGAAUUAUCCUAAAACUAUAGGUCAAUUUUAGGAGAAUUAAUAUCUUAUUGAUACUGAGUUUUCCAAUCCUCCUGAACAUGCUGUAUUUCCCCAUUUAUGAAGUUCUUAUUUAAUUUUUUUCAUAAAUGUUUGGUAGUUUUCAGGAUAUAUGUCUUGUACAUGUUUGCUUGUACAAAUUUGUCCCUAAAUAUUUUGUAUUCGUGAAUAUUGUUCUAAAAUGAUAUUUUUGCUUUCAAUUUCUAAUUGUUCAAUAUUAGUAUAUAAACCAUUGUAUAUAUUGUGAAAGGAUCAUCACAGCAAAUCUAGUUAAUAUACAUUGCCACACAUGGUUACAGAAAAUUUUUUCUUGUGAUGAGAACUUUUAAGACGUACUCUCUUAGUAACUUUCACAUAUGCAAUAUACUGUUAUUAACGAUAGUCGCCAUGCUGUAUAUUACAUCUCUAAGGCUUACUUAUUUUAUAACUGGAACUUGUACCUUUUGACUCCC